UCCGGUUUGUCACCGGCGGUCUCCUUAGAGUUCCCACCAUUACGUGCUGGUAACUAAGGACAAGGGUUGCGCUCGUUACGGGACUUAACCCAACACCUCACGACACGAGCUGACGACAGCCAUGCACCACCUGUACACCGACCACAAGGGGGGCACUAUCUCUAAUGCUUUCCGGUGUAUGUCAAAGGUUGGUAAGGUUCUGCGCGUUGCUUCGAAUUAAACCACAUACUCCACCGCUUGUGCGGGCCCCCGUCAAUUCCUUUGAGUUUCAGUCUUGCGACCGUACUCCCCAGGCGGCGAACUUAACGCGUUAGCUUCGAUACUGCGUGCCAAAUUGCACCCAACAUCCAGUUCGCAUCGUUUAGGGCGUGGACUAC
rnacentral:misc_RNA from 1 species